AACUAUAUUGGUGCUUGCACCGAAAGACGAGUGGCGAACGGGUGCGUAACGCGUAUGCAAUCUGCCUUUUACUAGGGUAUAGCCCAGAGAAAUUUGGAUUAAUCCCCUAUAAUAUCAUUUAAUCGCAUGAUUAUAUGAUUAAAGCUUCGGCGGUAGAAGAUGAGCAUGCGUCCUAUUAGUUAGUAGGUGAGGUAACGGCUCACCUAGACUCCGAUAGGUAGGGGUCCCGAGAGGGAGAUCCCCCACACUGGUACUGAGACACGGACCAGACUCCUACGGGAGGCAGCAGUGAGGAAUAUUGGACAAUGGACGAAAGUCUGAUCCAGCUAUGCCGCGUGCAGGAUGACGGCCCUAUGGGUUGUAAACUGCUUUUAUACAGGAAGAAAAACUCCGACGUGUCGGAACUUGACGGUACUGUAAGAAUAAGGAUCGGCUAACUCCGUGCCAGCAGCCGCGGUAAUACGGAGGAUCCAAGCGUUAUCCGGAAUCAUUGGGUUUAAAGGGUCCGUAGGCGGUUUUUUAAGUCAGAGGUGAAAUCCUGCAGCUCAACUGUAGAAUUGCCUUUGAUACUGAAAGACUUGAGUUAUUGUGAAGUGGUUAGAAUGUGUGGUGUAGCGGUGAAAUGCAUAGAUAUCACACAGAAUACCAAUUGCGAAGGCAGAUCACUAACAAUAUACUGACGCUCAGGGACGAAAGCGUGGGUAGCGAACAGGAUUAGAUACCCUGGUAG
rnacentral:rRNA from 1 species